AGCGAACGCUGGCGGCAGGCCUAACACAUGCAAGUCGAACGGACCCUUCGGGGUUAGUGGCGGACGGGUGAGUAACACGUGGGAACGUGCCUUUAGGUUCGGAAUAGCUCCUGGAAACGGGUGGUAAUGCCGAAUGUGCCCUUCGGGGGAAAGAUUUAUCGCCUUUAGAGCGGCCCGCGUCUGAUUAGCUAGUUGGUGAGGUAAUGGCUCACCAAGGCGACGAUCAGUAGCUGGUCUGAGAGGAUGACCAGCCACAUUGGGACUGAGACACGGCCCGAACUCCUACGGGAGGCGGCAGUGGGGAAUCUUGCGCAAUGGGCGAAAGCCUGACGCAGCCAUGCCGCGUGGAUGAUGAAGGUCUUAGGAUUGUAAAAUCCUUUCACCGGUGAAGAUAAUGACUGUAGCCGGAGAAGAAGCCCCGGCUAACUUCGUGCCAGCAGCCGCAGUAAUAC
rnacentral:rRNA from 1 species